CAACUGAUUGAACGUGCUUGCACGGACUUGACGUUGGUUUACCAGCGAGUGGCGGACGGGUGAGUAACACGUAGGUAACCUGCCCCAAAGCGGGGGAUAACAUUUGGAAACAGAUGCUAAUACCGCAUAACAAUUUGAAUCGCAUGAUUCAAAUUUAAAAGAUGGCUUCGGCUAUCACUUUGGGAUGGACCUGCGGCGCAUUAGCUUGUUGGUAGGGUAACGGCCUACCAAGGCUGUGAUGCGUAGCCGAGUUGAGAGACUGAUCGGCCACAAUGGAACUGAGACACGGUCCAUACUCCUACGGGAGGCAGCAGUAGGGAAUCUUCCACAAUGGGCGCAAGCCUGAUGGAGCAACACCGCGUGAGUGAAGAAGGGUUUCGGCUCGUAAAGCUCUGUUGUUAGAGAAGAACGUGCGUGAGAGCAACUGUUCACGCAGUGACGGUAUCUAACCAGAAAGUCACGGCUAACUACGUGCCAGCAGCCGCGGUAAUACGUAGGUGGCAAGCGUUAUCCGGAUUUAUUGGGCGUAAAGCGAGCGCAGGCGGUUUGAUAAGUCUGAUGUGAAAGCCUUUGGCUUAACCAAAGAAGUGCAUCGGAAACUGUCAGACUUGAGUGCAGAAGAGGACAGUGGAA
rnacentral:rRNA from 1 species